rfam:Glycine soja cultivar W05 scaffold4183_1, whole genome shotgun sequence.
UUGUUUGCAGGUGCAGCAGCAUCAAGAUUCACACACAGAUUUACCUCCUUGGGGGCGUGUGUUUCGGUGCUGAGAAUCUUGAUGAUGCUGCAUCAGCAAUAGA